rnacentral:rRNA from 1 species
AGAGUUUGAUCAUGGCUCAGGAUGAACGCUGGCGGCGUGCCUAAUACAUGCAAGUCGAACGCGAAAGGUCUGAAGCCUUCGGGCGGAGGGCCGAGUAGAGUGGCGAACGGGUGAGGAACACGUAGGUGACCUGCCCCGGAGAGGGGGAUAACCGUCGGAAACGGCGGCUAAUACCCCAUAAGCUCACGCGAGUUAGAGGGCGUGUGAGAAAAGCUCCGGCGCUCCGGGAGGGGCCUGCGGCCCAUCAGCUAGUUGGUAGGGUAAAGGCCUACCAAGGCGAAGACGGGUAGGGGGCCUGAGAGGGUGGUCCCCCACAUGGGAACUGAGACACGGUCCCAACUCCUACGGGAGGCAGCAGUAAGGAAUAUUGCACAAUGGGCGCAAGCCUGAUGCAGCAACGCCGCGUGCCCGAGGACGGCCUUCGGGUUGUAAAGGGCUUUUCUGGCUGACGAGGAAGGACGGUAGGCCAGGAAUAAGCGUCGGCUAACUACGUGCCAGCAGCCGCGGUAAU